rnacentral:rRNA from 1 species
CGCCUGUUUAUCAAAAACAUGGCCUUAGGAAUUUAUCUAAGGUUAUACCUGUCCAAUGUACUAUUAUAAACGGCCGCGGUACUUUGACCGUGCUAAGGUAGCGUAAUCAGUUGGCUCUUAAUUAGGGUCAGGAAUGAAUGGAGUUACGUGGUUCAACUGUCUCCUAACUAUUUAUUUGAAAUUACUAUAUAGAUGAAAAAGUCUAUAAUUCGAAAAAAGACGAGAAGACCCUUAGAGUUUUUCUUAAUGUGAUAAAUAUGAUCAUAAUGGUUUUGUUGGGGCAACACGGGAGCAAGACAUUAAUCUCUCUAAUAAAUUAAUCGAUUAUUUUAAAUAUGAAUAAACUACCUUAGGGAUAACAGCAUUAUGUAAAAAAUAAGUUUGUGACCUCGAUGUUGGACUGGGAAAUUUAAAGGCUAGCCGUCUUUAAAGAAAGUUCUGUUCGAACUAAUAUUCCCACGUGAUCUGAGUUCAGACCGG